GAUGAACGCUAGCUACAGGCCUAACACAUGCAAGUCGAGCGACCGGCGCAUGGGUGAGUAACACGUAUCAAACCUACCCUUUACUCUGAGAUAUACCUUCGAAAGAAAGAUUAAUACCCGAUAUUAAGCACGGGGAUGCGUUCCAUUUGGUUGUUUGUGAGGUAACGUCUCACCAAGCCUUCGAUGGAUAGGGGUUCUGAGAGGAAGGACCCCUACAAUUGAAAGGGGACACGAUCCAAUCUCCUACGGUAGGGAGCAGUGAGGGAUAUUGGGCAAUGGGCGCUAACCUGAGCCAGCCAAGUAGAGUGAAGGAUGAAGGCUUAUGGGUCGUAGUCUUCUUUUAUAUAAGAAUAGGUAUUAUAUGAAUAAGGAUCGGCUAACUCCGUGCCAGCAGCCGCGGUAAUUC
rnacentral:rRNA from 1 species